AGUCGAACGGGAUCCAUCGGGCUUUGCCUGGUGGUGAGAGUGGCGAACGGGUGAGUAAUGCGUGACCGACCUGCCCCAUGCACCGGAAUAGCUCCUGGAAACGGGUGGUAAUGCCGGAUGCUCCAUCACACCGCAUGGUGUGUUGGGAAAGCCUUUGCGGCAUGGGAUGGGGUCGCGUCCUAUCAGCUUGAUGGCGGGGUAACGGCCCACCAUGGCUUCGACGGGUAGCCGGCCUGAGAGGGCGACCGGCCACAUUGGGACUGAGAUACGGCCCAGACUCCUACGGGAGGCAGCAGUGGGGAAUAUUGCACAAUGGGCGCAAGCCUGAUGCAGCGACGCCGCGUGAGGGAUGGAGGCCUUCGGGUUGUAAACCUCUUUUGUUAGGGAGCAAGGCAUUUUGUGUUGAGUGUACCUUUCGAAUAAACACCGGCUAACUACGU
rnacentral:rRNA from 1 species